rnacentral:pre_miRNA from 1 species
UAGCUUUGUACUAAGUCAAACUUGUCUAAUUGCAACCAAGUUUAUAGGAAAAUAUAUCAACAUCUACAAUAUAAAAUAAAUGUAGUACCAAAAUACAUUUCUUGAUGCAUCUAAUGAAUCUAGUUUGACGUCGAAGAUGUUUGUGCAUCUUUUGGUAAAUUUGGUCAAAGCCAAACAAGUUUGACUUAGGACAAAGCUAA